CCCAGACUCCUACGGGAGGCAGCAGUGAGGAAUAUUGGUCAAUGGUCGGGAGACUGAACCAGCCAAGCCGCGUGAGGGAUGAAGGUACAGAGUAUCGUAAACCUCUUUUGUCAGGGAACAAAGGCGGGGACGUGUCCCCGGAUGAGUGUACCUGAAGAAAAAGCAUCGGCUAACUCCGUGCCAGCAGCCGCGGUAAUACGGAGGAUGCGAGCGUUAUCCGGAUUUAUUGGGUUUAAAGGGUGCGUAGGCGGACGCUUAAGUCAGCGUUAAAAUUGCGGGGCUCAACCUCGUCGAGCCGUUGAAACUGGCAGUCUCGAGUUGGAGAGAAGUAUGCGGAAUGCGCGGUGUAGCGGUGAAAUGCAUAGAUAUCGCGCAGAACUCCGAUUGCGAAGGCAGCAUGCCGGCUCCACACUGACGCUGAGGCACGAAAGCGUGGGUAUCGAACAGGAUUAGAUACCCGUGUAA
rnacentral:rRNA from 1 species